rnacentral:rRNA from 1 species
GAUGAACGCUGGCGGCGUGCCUAACACAUGCAAGUCGAACGGAGAUUACGGACGGAAGUUUUCGGAUGGAAGCCUGUAAUUCUUAGUGGCGGACGGGUGAGUAACGCGUGGGCAACCUGCCCUAUACAGGGGGAUAGCAGCUGGAAACGGCUGGUAAGACCGCAUAAGUCGGUUAAAUCGCAUGAUUUGAUCGGGAAAUGAGCAAUCAGGUAUAGGAUGGGCCCGCGUCCGAUUAGCCAGUUGGCAGGGUAAAAGCCUACCAAAGCGACGAUCGGUAGCCGGACUGAGAGGUCGGACGGCCACAUUGGGACUGGGACACGGCCCAAACUCCUACGGGAGGCAGCAGUGGGGGAUAUUGCACAAUGGAGGAAACUCUGAUGCAGCGACGCCGCGUGAGUGAAGAAGUAUUUCGGUAUGUAAAGCUCUAUCGGCAGGGAAGAUGAUGACGGUACCUGACUAAGAAGCCCCGGCUAACUACGUG